rnacentral:rRNA from 1 species
UGCGAUCAUACCAGCACUAAUGCACCGGAUCCCAUCAGAAAUUCGCAGUUAAGCGUACUUGGGCGAGUGUAGUUCUAGGAUGGGUGACCCCCUGGGAAGUCCUCGUGUUGCACU